rnacentral:rRNA from 1 species
UACGUAGGGGGCUAGCGUUGUCCGGAAUCACUGGGCGUAAAGGGCGCGUAGGUGGCGACCCAAGUCGAUGGUGAAAGCUCGCCGCUUAACGGCGAGUCGGCCACCGAUACUGGGUUGCCCGAGCACUGUAGAGGCAGAUGGAAUUCCGGGUGUAGCGGUGGAAUGCGUAGAGAUCCGGAAGAACACCGGUGGCGAAGGCGGUCUGCUGGGCAGUUGCUGACACUGAGGCGCGACAGCGUGGGGAGCAAACAGG